rnacentral:piRNA from 1 species
UACAGAGGGGCUGUUGUAAAUAAUGUU